rnacentral:misc_RNA from 1 species
UUAAGUUCAGCGGGUAGUCCUACCUGAUUUGAGAUCAAACGUUCAAAAAGAUGUCUUCACUGAGGGGAGACAUUUAUAAGCUCCAGCAAACCUCCAUUGCUGAAGGUUACCAGGUGGUCAACCACAAGCGUAGAUAGUUAUCACACCCAUGACGCCACCAAAAACUGGCAAGCUGAUUCAUUUGAGAGGAGCUGACCAUA